rnacentral:rRNA from 1 species
GAUUCUGGCUCAGGAUGAACGCUGGCGGCGUGCUUAACACAUGCAAGUCGAACGGAGUAUAUUUAAAAGCUUGCUUUGUUAUACUUAGUGGCGGACGGGUGAGUAACGCGUGGGUAACCUGCCUUAUACCGGGGGACAACAGUUGGAAACGACUGCUAAUACCGCAUAAGCGCACAGUCUCGCAUGAGACAGUGUGAAAAACUCCGGUGGUAUAAGAUGGACCCGCGUCUGAUUAGCCAGUUGGCGGUGUAACGGACCACCAAAGCGACGAUCAGUAGCCGGCCUGAGAGGGUGAACGGCCACAUUGGGACUGAGACACGGCCCAAACUCCUACGGGAGGCAGCAGUGGGGAAUAUUGCACAAUGGAGGAAACUCUGAUGCAGCGACGCCGCGUGAGUGAAGAAGUAUUUCGGUAUGUAAAGCUCUAUCAGCAGGAAAGAAAAUGACGGUACCCGACUAAGAAGCCCCGGCUAACUACGUGCCAGCCGCAGC